rnacentral:piRNA from 1 species
UGACGGUCCUCAGAACACCUCUGUGCCA